UACAGAGGGUGCAAGCGUUAAUCGGAGUUACUGGGCGUAAAGGGCGCGUAGGUUGUUGCAUAAGUUGGUUGUGAAAGCCCGGGGCUCAACUCCGGAAUUGCCUUUAAAACUGCAUCGCUAGAAUUGUGGAGAGGUAAGUGGAAUUCCGAGUGUAGAGGUGAAAUUCGUAGAUAUUCGGAAGAACACCAGUGGCGAAGGCGACUUACUGGACACAUAUUGACGCUGAGGUGCGAAAGCGUGGGGAGCAAACAGG
rnacentral:rRNA from 1 species